UGAGCAUGCCGCCGCUUCUUUUGGUCUAAACUAAACGCCGCCUGCGCAGGCAGGCAGGGGGUGGGAAAGGGGGGGAAGGGAAGGGGGGCAGGCCGCCGCCCCCUCGGUGUUUUGACUUUGGCUAGCUAGCUUGGCUAAGUGUGCGGUGGCGGCGGCGGCGGCGGCUGGAGGUGACCCAGGUCCCGGCGGCGGCGGCGGCGACGGAGCUGACCCAGGUACCCCCUGGACCGGAGGUGGACGUUCCUGUUCGAACGGAUGAAGUCCUAGUUCCUCGAGUUCCUGCACGAGUAGGUGGAGAGGGAGGGGUUCGUGCCGUUCUUCGUCCUGGAGCAGCUGUCCUAGGAGCGGGACGAGAGGCUGCUGGUUCGGGUUACCGUGGAACCAGCUCCCUCCUUCUUGCGAGGGUCGUUCCUCCGCCACGAGUUUUAUCAGCUGCUGUAUAUGUCCUUCUACGUUCAGGUGCCAGGAGGACUGGAGCACCAUAGAGGACGAGUCUCGGUCGACGGACAGUGCGGCCUAAAGUUGGCGUAGUAGUUUCGAUUUUUCCUUGUUAACCCGGGACUGAGACCGACGGAAACACCAGUUAGGAAACAAGAGCCCUUACACCAGUUCACGCUGCUAACGGUCCAGGUCGUCGUAUAGCUGACACACGACUAAGGUCUCUUCGGACGUCACCCACAGUCUGGACUUCGAGGUCUCGUAAUGAAAACAGUCAACACGGCUGAUUAGGCUCGUCUGGGUAUAACCUAAUGAUGACCUUUAGGAAAUGAUGGACACUCUGACUAAUGUUUACUACCUCACUUACAAGGAGUCUCACACCUCUCUUGAAAAGAUGAAUGAGCUCGACUCUCCCUCUGACAAGUCUCUCACCUUAUACUAUAAGUCCAAACCACAUACGAAGACUUGCUGUUUCAAGUCAAGUCCUACGUGACCGGAGUCUUACGUCUGAAUGUUCACUUGCCAUAUGUUCACGCUCAUCAAGGGUCCGGAUCGUGAGUCAAUGAUCCCUAAUUACCUGCCCUACUACCCGGCCACUAUUGUUGGAAAACGGCUCUUCCUGUCUUAUUUUAUCAAAAUAGUUCACUACUACGGGCUGGUAAAACAAAACCCUAGUCUUAACGUUUCUCCUCCUGUCAACUGGUCCAAGAUUUGAACCACGGUUUCCUUCGACUACCGCUCAGAAAACUCCUAAGAGAACGAGCACAAACAGCGACAGAGUCUCCACCUUUAUGAUGUCUACUACGACUGUCGCUAUCACUAAACCUUCACCAACGGCUGAAGAAAGGACAGUCGGACGCAACAGGAUUAUCACCUAGGGCCUAUUCCUGACGCCCUUCCAAGUUCGGAACACGAGUGUACCCGAGAAAACUAGACGUUUGAAAACAUCUCGACUUAGUUGCCAGUGCUUUCACCGUUACAGGUUGUACAGACUUCUUAAUAAGAUAACUCUCGAACUAGUAACUAGCCAUAAAGUUGGCCUAGCGAAGAGACCAAGCCUUAACGCCACUUCUACAGUGACUCUAUCUACACUUCGGACUACCGAGAACCGCACACUUCCCACUACAACUUCUAUAUUUUAACAGGGACACCGUGGACGGACUGCCAAGGGACACACUUGACUUUGUUCUGCGAUUUGGACAACGACCACUACAUUUUAGACUUCGAAGUUCUUAACCGUCGUUCCCUUUAGAUCCGGAAUUACCUAACACCCUUCGAUCAUUUCGACAACUGUAUUUCGGGAGUUUCGGAUACUCGUCAUCGGUGUGACCUUAAAUGUCCCUACCCCUGAUGGAUUCACACUCACUCACGUCGUGCGUUUAACCACUCUACAUGUCUCAACUACUAUCUGAUGUCGUUGUCGAGCUUCUACGUCUACAGUAACAAGAGUCGCUGAGGCUACUACUGUUACAACACUGUCACAGAGGUGGUCGACGGAUAUCACUACAACCACCAAACCCUAAACGAGGGUAAAGACGCGGUCCUCAACGACUUUCAAUGGUCCUCCCACCACAUCAACCCCCGGAACCGGAACUAAACAAGUUGCUGUUGUCGCUAUAAAAACUGUAUUGAAGGACCAGACGCGUUGGGGUUGGUCUCGUUCCCAAGUUAAAAAAGCCUCGACUACAAGAUGAACCAAGAGUGUUAAGUAGACUACGUCGCGGUUCACGAAUAUGGGAACCGACGGUGCGACCGAGAUCACUGUGAAGGUACCAAGCUCUAGGAAGAUGGACGGUACAUGCGUGGUCUUCGAACCAGCUAUUGGACAACGGAAAGCCGUUACUACUAAGAAGAGACGCCUAAAAAGAAGGAUAAGUUGGUAGACCGCAAGGGCAAGUCCUUCUUGCCUUACCUGUACUGUUGUACAGUUUACCCCAGGUCGGACAACUACUGCUACUUCUGCUUCUAACCUAUAGAGAAUGUGAACGCCGCCCACCUCCAUCAUUACUUGUCAGACUCCGUCGUCUAUGCCACUCGUGUGUUCGUGUUUAGCGUCACCUUCUCUCUUCCUACCUUGGUCGUCUGUGCGACUUGGGUGUUCGUGUUUACUGCCACCUUCUCUGUUCCUACCUUGGUCGUCUACACAACUUGGGCGUUCGCGUUUAACGUCACCUUCUCUGUUCCUAUCUUGGUCGUCUACGCAACUUGGGUGUUCGUGUCUAACGUCACCUUCUCUCCUGCCUUGGUCGUCUACGCAACUCGGGUGUUCGUGUUCAAUGUCACCUUCUCUCUUCCUACCUUGGUCGUCUGUAACAAUUGGGUGUUCGCGUUUAACGUCACCUUCUUUCUUCUUACCUUGGCCGUCUCUGCAGCUUGGCUGUUCGUGUUCGUGUCUAACGUGACCUUCUCUCUUCCUACCUUGGUAACUCACUACGACUUCCGAGCGGAGGGUCGAACUUACUACUCUCCGCAUUGUUUCCCUUAAGUUUUUGUUCCCGACUUUUCUAUAAAAGAGGAGGCGCCGUCGGAGCUAGGCAGUCCGGAGCUGAUUGCUGUGUCGUCACUGCAACUCAUCAAGAAGAAAGAAUGAAACCUAUCGACACUUUAGUACUACAUGAACACCGGCUACAUUUCUUCUUGGUUGUACUUACAAAAGUAUCAAAUUGGACUACAUAUUUGAUGUCUUCAAAGUUCACGACCUUUACUCCCACGCGGACUUCCUGUAGACUGCUGUAUUGUCCUUCACUCGUUCCUUCCGAACUAUCCAAAACACCGUCAGACGACGUCGUAUAACAUGUAAACUGGUGGUCUGAUACAUUUUUAUAUAUACACGAAACGGCUUUACCUUCCGUUUGUUUAUCUCUACACCUCCAAACACAUAGUAAUUUAACAUUAAUCCCCAACCGAACACACAACGAUUAUAACUCACUCUACGGGAUCAUAUGAAAGAUGAGAAAGGCCUUUAAUUUAAUAAAAAAGUACAAAUGAUAAUAAUGUAAGAAAAAAGUACAAAGAACACAUACGAACAAUGAGAAAAGGCCUUAAAACAAGUACUAAUAAUAAUAAUGUAAGGUACUUG
rnacentral:rRNA from 1 species